rnacentral:tRNA from 1 species
UAGCCUAGUGGUUAAGGCUAUGGAUCGCCAAUCUGGAGUCGACGGGUUCAAUUCCCGU